rnacentral:rRNA from 1 species
UACGAAGGGUGCAAGCGUUAGUCGGAAUUACUGGGCGUAAAGCGUGCGUAGGCGGUCUCUUAAGUCCGUUGUGAAAGCCCUGGGCUCAACCUGGGAACUGCAGUGGAUACUGAGAAGCUAGAGUGUGUCAGAGGAUGGUGGAAUUCCCGGUGUAGCGGUGAAAUGCGUAGAGAUCGGGAGGAACACCCGCGGCGAAGGCGGCUCUCUGGGACGGUACUGACGCUGAGACGCGAAAGCGUGGGGAGCGAACAGG